rnacentral:rRNA from 1 species
AUACGUAGGGUGCAAGCGUUAUCCGGAAUUAUUGGGCGUAAAGGGCUCGUAGGCGGUUCGUCGCGUCCGGUGUGAAAGUCCAUCGCUUAACGGUGGAUCCGCGCCGGGUACGGGCGGGCUUGAGUGCGGUAGGGGAGACUGGAAUUCCCGGUGUAACGGUGGAAUGUGUAGAUAUCGGGAAGAACACCAAUGGCGAAGGCAGGUCUCUGGGCCGUUACUGACGCUGAGGAGCGAAAGCGUGGGGAGCGAACAGGAUUAGAUACCCUGGUAGUCCACGCCGUAAACGGUGGAUGCUGGAUGUGGGGCCCGUUCCACGGGUUCCGUGUCGGAGCUAACGCGUUAAGCAUCCCGCCUGGGGAGUACGGCCGCAAGGCUAAAACUCAAAGAAAUUGACGGGGGCCCGCACAAGCGGCGGAGCAUGCGGAUUAAUUCGAUGCAACGCGAAGAACCUUACCUGGGCUUGACAUGUUCCCGACGAUCCCAGAGAUGGGGUUUCCCUUCGGGGCGGGUUCACAGGUGGUGCAUGGUCGUCGUCAGCUCGUGUCGUGAGAUGUUGGGUUAAGUCCCGCAACGAGCGCAACCCUCGCCCCGUGUUGCCAGCGGAUUGUGCCGGGAACUCACGAGGGACCGCCGGGGUUAACUCGGAGGAAGGUGGGGAUGACGUCAGAUCAUCAUGCCCCUUACGUCCAGGGCUUCACGCAUGCUACAAUGGCCGGUACAACGGGAUGCGACGCGGCGACGCGGAGCGGAUCCCUGAAAACCGGUCUCAGUUCGGAUCGCAGUCUGCAACUCGACUGCGUGAAGGCGGAGUCGCUAGUAAUCGCGAAUCAGCAACGUCGCGGUGAAUGCGUUCCCGGGCCUUGUACACACCGCCCGUCAAGUCAUGAAAGUGGGCAGCACCCGAAGCCGGUGGCCUAACCCCUUGUGGGAUGGAGCCGUCUAAGGUGAGGCUCGUGAUUGGGACU